rnacentral:rRNA from 1 species
AACGAACGCUGGCGGCAGGCUUAACACAUGCAAGUCGAACGCCCCGCAAGGGGAGUGGCAGACGGGUGAGUAACGCGUGGGAACAUACCCUUUCCUGCGGAAUAGCUCCGGGAAACUGGAAUUAAUACCGCAUACGCCCUACGGGGGAAAGAUUUAUCGGGGAAGGAUUGGCCCGCGUUGGAUUAGCUAGUUGGUGGGGUAAAGGCCUACCAAGGCGACGAUCCAUAGCUGGUCUGAGAGGAUGAUCAGCCACAUUGGGACUGAGACACGGCCCAAACGCCUACGGGAGGCAGCCGUGGGGAAGAUUGGACAAUGGGCGGAAGCCUGGUCCAGCCAUGCCGCGUGAGGGAUGAAGGCCAUAGGGUUGUAAAGCUCUUUCACCGAUGAAGAUAAUGACGGUAGUCGGAGAAGAAGCCCCGGCUAACUUCGUGCCAGCCGCCGCCGUAAUAC